AACGAACGCUGGCGGCAUGCCUAACACAUGCAAGUCGAACGAGACCUUCGGGCCUAGUGGCGCACGGGUGCGUAACGCGUGGGAACCUGCCCUUAGGUUCGGAAUAACUCCCCGAAAGGGGUGCUAAUACCGGAUAAUGUCUUCCGACCAAAGAUUUAUCGCCUUUGGAUGGGCCCGCGUUGGAUUAGCUAGUUGGUAGGGUAAAAGCCUACCAAGGCGACGAUCCAUAGCUGGUCUGAGAGGAUGAUCAGCCACACUGGGACUGAGACACGGCCCAGACUCCUACGGGAGGCAGCAGUGGGGAAUAUUGGACAAUGGGCGAAAGCCUGAUCCAGCAAUGCCGCGUGAGUGAUGAAGGCCUUAGGGUUGUAAAGCUCUUUUACCCGGGAUGAUAAUGACAGUACCGGGAGAAUAAGCUCCGGCUAACUCCGUG
rnacentral:rRNA from 1 species